rnacentral:lncRNA from 1 species
GAGAUGAGGCAGACACCGGCCUCAGGAGGCUCACAGACUGGGGAGGCAGACAGACGUGGAACCUGGCAAGUUUCUCUCCGACAGUUCGAGAAAGCCCAGCGGUGCCAAGAGAGCAGGGGAACAGGAAGUGGGACCAAAGAGCAAAAUGAACCAAAAAACUCAGUCGGCGAAGGUCCCUGGAGGAGGUGAGGCUGGAACUGAAUUCAUUCAGAAAACUGAAAGAGGGAGAAAGAAAUGGUAUUUCUAGAAGACAGAGCUGCAGGUGCAGAUGGCAGGAGUGAGAGGAAGCUUGGUGCCUUGGAAAUCGGGGAGCAGCUCUUCCAGGCAGGGCCUGGGGCAUGACUAACAUGAGGGCCUGGACUGGAGUAGUACAUGCCGGGCAGACCACAAAGGCCUGGUAUGUCACGCUAACAAGUUUGUUUCCCUGAGGAGACCCAGAGGGAUAUUAAGGCAGGAGGGUGAGAACCAUCUGGUUUCACUGAAAUCUCAUGGCUGAGAGUAAGGAUUAGGUUCAUAUCCUAAGACCCCAAUAGCAAUGGCUUACUGCAAAAGGUAGUUGAUUUCUCUAAGUAAAUACAAGAAACCCAGAGUUUAGCAGUCGAGGGAGCUAGCUCCAUGAUUCUCAAGGAUAUGCACACUUUCCAGUUUCUCCUUUUCAUCCCUAGAAGUGGGGUGCUUCAAAAUGACAGCUACCACACCCACCUUCUAGGCAGCAGGAUGCAGGGAGGGAUGGAGAAAAGAGCCAAGUGUGACUGCCCACUGCUUCAAAGGAAUGGCCCCCAAACUCACUUUUAUCCCAUUGGCCAGAGUUCAGUCACAUGGUACAAGGCACUGCAGGGAAGUCUGGGAAAUGUAGUCCUUUUUGGGUGGCCAAAAUACUGGGGCUUCUAUUUCUGUGACUCAGUGGAAAGACACACUGGGAAUAACUAGGAGGCUCUGCCACUGACCUGUUGGACUCUGCUGUGAGAACAAGGGUUAUCAGCUUUAAUCAACAGAUAAGGACACUGUGAUUGGCUCAUCUGUAGUGCUGCUGGGGUUACAAAACUUGGCAUCAAUGCCAGGCUCUCGAGUACUAGGCAAGCUAACGGAGAAAACUGAGGUGGUAUCAUGUCUCUUCCCAAAUCAGGUUCCCAAGAUCCCUGCUUGAGUGCAUCAUCCAAGAUGAGCAGCCCAUCUAUAGAGGAUUCCCCUGAGGUAGUAUUGAAGGGAUAAAAUUGGUAGAAAGGAGACGUAAAGGAAGGACAAGGAAAGAGCUUUGAAUUCAGAAGUUCUGCAUACUUUUGCAGACCUGUCAUUCCCUAACCAGUCUCUCUCUAGACCUCCCCAGUUCCUGGGAAAUCUGUAUAUAACUGUGAAUCAACCCUGCAAUUAGUUGAUUAAGCAAGAAGAGAUAUGAUAUUUUAAGGAUCCUAUAAUUUAGGGGACUUUUUAGUGCUAUUUAUGAAUUAAAUAAUGACAACCACAUCAGUCUGAGGACCCAGAGACUGACCAGACCACCAGCAGUCACCUUGAAAUCACCAGACUGAUGUCGUUCCUACAUACCUUCCCACUCCCACCCCUUAACACACUUCCUUUACAAGAAGAUCUGAGGCUGGGCUCAGUGGCUCGUGCCUAUUCAAGGACAUGAAAAAAUAACAUCCCCCAAGAAAAGGGGAAUGACAGCCCCCAGGGAGGAGGGAGGACCCUGUGAUCCAGGAGGGGACCCACGGGGAAAGCCCACUUUCACUGCUGUCUUAUUUAUUAUUCUCCUGGUGUUGGGUGUGGAAAUGACUCGGGUUCUGCUGGUACAGGGCAGAAGAAGCUCCUGGGAAGGCAGAGGGACCCAGAGGGCAAGGUUCAGUGGAAGCUGUGGUAUCUGCAGUCUGGGAGGUGCAGUUCCUGCCUGCGGGACAGAUCAAUGCCUUUAAGAGAGGUGUUUAUUGAACAGCCUUCCUGAAUCUCAACACCCAGAGAAAAAGAAAAGAUCAUUCAAUCUUGUUUUCCAGCAAAAGGGAAAGGAAAGAAAAGGGGUGAUAAGAAGCAGGCAGUCCUGCGCCUGUGGAGGCUGGUGUCUCAGAUCCUGUGCAUCAAAAUGAUUGCAGAUGACGGGAGGGAGACUAAGGAGUGAGUGGGCUGUAUUAGGCUGUUCCUUCACCGGUGUGUGCAAACCUACGUAAUGAUUACCUUCUUACAAUUAUUAUUACCAUCUUCUACUUCAUAGAGCAUGGGGUGCAGAAGAGAGUACCUCUCCCACAAUCGUACUGGCUUUAGUCCCCAAAAACAUGGGUCUGGCCCUGUCUACUCCCCUGAUUCCUGCUCUCUGGGCUCAAAGCCCCCUGGGUUCCCUUCCCAAAGCUCUCUGAAGCAAGGCAGCUCCCUCUCUCUCUAGCAGAGGAGCAGAGAUACCUCUGAGCAUAGAAGAGGAAAACAAUUAUUUAAAAUAACUCAAGGGCACCCCUUCAGGAAACUGUGGAGUUUAUAGUAAACUAAGUUUCUGCUCUUAGCUGUGAGAACCCCGAGGGAGGAUUUUUAAGAGGCUGGUUUGCCUGUCAUUGCAGAAUACACUUGGGGCAUUUCUUGCCACCUUAAGGUGACUUAAGAGCAAGAUACAUGCCAAGGUGACAUUGGCUCAUGGCCUGCACUGUGCUGGCUCUGGAACCACACUGAGAAACCCCGGGGGAUACAGACUCCUGACUAGACCCUGCCUUGUGUUCCCCUGGGGUUUGAAAUGCUUGAUUUCAGUGUGCCUGAAAAUGUCACCAUGUCAGUGACCUACUGAACCAUCUGACUCAUUCUGAGAAACUUAAGAAAACAUACAGCAGGGGUUGCUGAAAAGACGAUCCAUUUGUCCAGAUUAAAAUGUAACGGUAAUGCAUGUUUAUUGAGGUUUUACUGUGUGUUAAGGGCUUGUACAGAUCACCUCCUUUAAGGGUUAUUGCACCCAUGGGUAGUGGACCUCCCAAGCAGUUCAGCUUAGAGGAGGAAACAGAUUCAGACAGGUGCAGAUGAUGCUCUCCCAGCUGCAUUUUAGAAUCACCUGAGGGAGGUGAUCCCCAAGUCCCAUCCAGAUGUGGUGAAUGAAAUGUCUGGGACCUGGCUGUGGGUAUGAUGUAAAGUGCCCCAGUGAUUCUGAUGUAUGCCAGAGUUAAGAUGGGGUUGCAUAAUUUGCUCCACUUCAGACCACAAAUAAGUGGUGGGUUCUGCCCCAGGAGGUCUAACUCCACUGGAUCUCACUUGAACAUACUGGAAACAGUGUAAUUCAUCAUGCUCCCAAGAGAAUCUGAGCUCUGCUGUUACAUACUUUCUCCCUUAAUAACAUGGGCUCUGUUGGAUAUGAUGGUGCAUGCCUGUAAUCCCAGCAUCUCAGGAGGCUGAGAUAGGAGGAUCCAAGUUCAAGGCCAGCCUCAGCAAUUUGGCCAGAUCCUGUCUCAAAAUAAAAAGAACUGGGGAAGUAGCUUACUGUUUUAAUCCUUAGUACCAAAACAAACUUAGGAAGCCCCAAAUCUCUAGCAGGUCCAACUCUGGAACCAGAGAUGUUUAUUUCCUGCUCUAAACUUUGCUGAUGGUACCAAGUAGAUGCAACAGUGUAUUUAUUUGCAAUUCCGUUGCAAUCGCCACUGUAGCAAAUCACCACAGAUUGUGGUUUAAAACAACACACAUCUAUUACCUUAUAGUCUGGAAGUCAAAAGCCUCAAAUACUUUCCAUUGGGCCAAAAUUACGGUGUGGGCAGGACCUUGCCCCUUCCCAGGGCUUGGGGGAGGAUCUAUUUUCUUGCCUUUUUCAGUGUCUAGAGCUGCUUUUCUUGCAUCCCUUUGCUUUUGACUCCCUCCUCCAUCUUCAAAGCCAGCAGCCCAGGGUCUUGCUGGACUUUAACAUUGCUUUCUUUAUCUGCAUCAACUCCUCCUCUGCAUCUUUCUAUAAGGACACUUGUGUCAUGUCCAUAGCCCAAUUGUGCCAGAGCAGUGGGAUAGGUUGCAGAUAAGCCAAAGAAAGUGCCUGAAGACAGUACCAGAGAGAGUUGAUUUAUUGGGAAAAGCCUACAAGAGAUCAGAGACUGCUCCGAGAAGAGUUCAGUUGCAAUAGACUAACAGCACCUCCGUCCCUCAUGGUGUUGGAGCAUGUCCUAUCUGAGAUUACAUGAUACAUACCAUGUGAACUUUGGAGGGGCACAUGGCAAGAAGCUGAAACCUCCUUCCAGGCUGCUGACACUCCCGUGAACUCAGAAGUGCAUCCUCCAGCCCAGGUGAGACUUCAGGUGGCUACAGUAUUGACCAACAGCUUGCUCACAACCCCAGGGGGCAGCCAGCUCUGCCCAGACAAGCCACUCCUAGAUUCCUGACCUCAGAGACUGCUAUUUAAAGGGGCUAAGUUGGAAUCAUUUGUUAUGCAGCAACAGAUGAUUAAAUAUAAUUAAUAUUCUCAGCCUGAUUUUUUCUAGUAUUUGUAAUCUUUAGUUCUUUCAAUGAGGUAUUCCGCAUACUUUAAUUAUAGAAGUAAUUCAUGCUUGUUGUAGAAAAAUUAGAUUACACUGAAAAAAAAAUUACAGUGAAGAGGAAAAUAAAAAUUAUGCAACGGUCACCACGGUUUCCUAUUUGGGUGCAUUUUCCCUACAGCUAUACUUUCCUUGCAAAUAUACAAGGUCCUCUGGUUGGGAAUAUUUUUUUCAAAAGAAAAGCAGGAUCUUGAAGUAUAUUUGAAAGAACCUUGAACUUGAAGCCUGAUGACUUGGGGUCUCAGGCUCAUUUCUUCACCGUAUUUUGUGACCUUAAAAAAUUGAAAUCUAUUAAAACUUUUUCUGAGCCAUCAUUUCCUUGUCUGCAAAUUAUGGAUAAAAAGAGUCAACUUUUGGGAUAUGAUAAGUACGAAAAGGUCCGCGGCUUUAAAAAGUGACCAGCACAUUACAGGUCACAGACCCACUUAGAAUGUGUUCCCUGACAUACAUGGGAGGAGUAGCAGAAGAAUUGGGGAGGUGGGGGGUGGGGCAGACAGAACAUCAGCCUGAGGGACAGUGGAGAAAAGACCUGGAGGUGAGAAGGGGAUGGCGGGAAGAGGGGUUUAGGCAGAGAAGAGUGAUUAGAGCUUAGAGAGUAUGGAGGGCAGGCAGUUGGGGUCAGUAGUUAUGGGCAGCAUUGAAGAGGUUUUUUUUUGGCACUGGGGAUUGAACCCAGUGGUGUUUAACCACUGAGUCACAUCCCCAGCUCUCUCUCUCUCUCUCUCUCUCUCUCUCUCUCUCUCUAUAUAUAUAUAUAUAUAUAUAUAUAUAUAUAUAUAUACAUAAUUUAGAGACAGGGUCUCGCUGAGUUGCUUAGGGCCUUGCAAAAGUUGCUGAGGCUAGCUUUGAACUCUCCAUCCUCCUGUCUCAGCCUCCUGAGCCACUGGGAUUGUAAGUGUGGACCAUGAUGCCUGCUAAAGAGCUUUUUUGAAGGAGUGAUGGUCCCUUUAUUUGCCUGCCCUCUCAGUCCCCAUCCAACAUCUGUCCCACCACACCACACCCAGGGCACUUGGCCUGCCUGCCCUUGGUCCUUUCUGAGAGCCUCUGACUGCCCUGGACACCUUUCUCUCCUCAUCUCCCUCAGAGUUCACCCCUGCCUUGUCAUUCUCCCAUCUGCUGUCUGCUACGUUUAGGUGACAUGAGAACAAUCUGAGACAAAUGAGGAGGGGAAUUGUCAGAUGGGCCAGUCAGAGAGCUCAUAUCUGCUAAGGUUUUGUCACUGUGAGGAUCUAACUUGACAUGACUGAAGCCAUCUUGGUCAUAGCAGUCAUGCUGCCUAUCAGGUGACCUUGACGCACCUACCAAGCCCUGUGGGACAAAAUCAUUAAGACAGUCAGCUGAGUGGGUUGUGCUGAACACUGUACUAAACAUUUCUUAACUGACAUGGAUUAUUAACAGAUUUUAGAAAGGCUAGGUAUAUUCUGGUUGGCUGCAGCCCACCUUUGUCUAACGUAGCACAUAAACCCUUGCCUUGGGGUGCUACCAUCUAAGACUUGUUCUCUCUUUUAAGUCCCCAAGAAAUUGUGCUUUGUGCAAUCCUGGGUCUGUCAGCCUCCUUCUUGAGUCUCGUGCCACCUUUGACCUUCAGCUGCAGGUUCUCAUACAGCCUAGACCUGGUUUUCCCCAAACAAUUGCUAUAUGACAUUGGACGUGUAACUUCUCCUCCCUAGAUGUCAGCUAAAGCCAGGGGACUAGACUAGACCAGUGGUUCCCCAUUGAGACAUUUUGGAGGAUCCGGUCACUUAGAAAUAUGUCCUCUCAGGUGAGAAGGAAAUAAAUGUAACCUGAGAGUCAAAAUCGAUUCCAGAAAGGAGCUCUAGGCAAUGGGUAAUGACAGGAGCCUCUGGGGAUAAACAGGGUGAGACUUCUGGGCUUGGAAGUCUUCCGGGCCCUGUCCGUCUUUGACCAUCUACGAGUCCCUCAAUUUCAAGUCCGCUUGAGAAAGUAAUUUGUAACCAGCAGAAUUACCCUGGAGGGAAGACACUGCCUUGGGAGGGAAUGAGCUCCCAGGCUUCAGAGCAUGCAAAUAAAGCUGGACAAACCGUGUGCAGGGAUACUGUAGAACAGAGGUUGCAAACCAAAGUGUGUUCAGAGGCUGGCAGGUGAGCUGGUAGUGACACGGGCUUGUGUACCAGGGGGCUGCUCUUUACAUCUGCAAAUAAGGAUCUUCUCUCCAGCUUAAUUCACUUGGCAUAAUGUCCUCCUGGUUCAUCCCUGUUGUCCCAAAUGCCAGAAUUUCCUGAAGACUGAAUAAUAUUUCAGUGUUUAUAUAUACCCACAAUUUUUAUUCAUCCACUAUCACACAGAAAGAAAAAUGCUGGAUUAUUUCCCUUAUAUGUGGAAAAAGUUGAACUCACAGAAACAGAGAAGAAUGGUGGUUAGCAGGGGAUGGGGUGGGAGAAGUGGGGAGAUACUGAUCAAAAGGUCCAAACUUGAAGUUACAAAAUGAAUGAAUUCUGGCCGGGCUCAGUGGUGCACGCCCAUAAUCCCAGUGGCUCAGGAGGCUGAGGCAGGAGGAUCAUGAGUUCAAAGCCAGCCUCAGCAAAAGCAAGGCGCUAAGCAACUCAGUGAGACUCUGUCUCUAAAUAAAAUACAAAAUAGGGGUAGGGAUGUGGCACAGUGGUCAAGUGUCCCUGGGUUCAAACCGCCCCCACACACAAAAAAAGAUAAGUAGGUUCUGGAGACCUGAUGCACAGCAUGCUGACUGCAGUUAACAAUAAUGUAUUAUAUAUUUGAAACUACAGCCAGGUGCCCUGGCACAGGCCUGUAAUCAUAGCAACUCUGGAAGCUGAGGUAGGAAGAUCUCAAGGUCAAGUCCAGCCUGACAACUUAGCAAAAUUUAAAAAGAACAGAUCUGGGAGGUAGAUCAGUGGUAGAGUGUUAUAUGGCAAGCACAAGGCCCUGGGUUCAGUCCUUAACACUGCAAAAAAGAAAAGGAAGGGAGAAAGGGAGGAAGGGAGGGAGGGAGGGAAGAAAAGAACAAAGAGAGGGAUUUGCUAAAAGGGGAGAUCUUAAGUGUUUUUUUGGGGGGGGUAACAAUGUGAGGAAGGGAAGUGAGACAAUCAUUCCACAACACAUACAUAUAUCAAAACAUCAAACGUUGGAUCCAAUACCUGGAUAUAUACAACUUCUAUUUGUUGAUGAUACCUAGUCCAGCUGGUAAAAAAGAGAAUCAUCUUUCUGGUUGUCUCUUGGAGAAUGUGGCCCUCUUGGCCUAUUUUUCCUUCAUGCUUGCCGCAGUCUGGCUGGGCACAAAAUAACCGAGCCGCCACAAAGCCUUGUAGGUUCAAACAGCAACUCUUUAUUCCCGAACUCUCACCAGCACUCUACACACACUUUCCGGGAACCCACUCCCUCCACCAGGCUCCGCGCGCCAAUUCUCUUGGAACCCGGCAAGAACUCAACGGGAACUCCAAAGUAGAGGGCAGCAGGAUCCGCCCUAAUCCCGGAGCCACCCUAUUCCCGGAGCAGGGUCACCUUUCAACCAUUCCCUCUGGCAAAAUGCCAGGCAUCAUUCCCACUAAACUGUGGCUCUCAACAUCUCCCCCCUUCUGUUUAAUUAAACAACAAGCAUGUGGCUUAGGGACCGUGCCUGUCUUAGGUUGUCUAAUACUACAUAUGGUCCUUACCCAUCAUUGGAUGAGCUGACCUCAAGGCGUCAGCCUCCUGUCUUAGGUUGGUACCAUUGCAAUUGGAUCAUACCCAUCACUGACUACCGGCCCAGCAUACAGCCAUACUUGUGGAUAGGCCUUUGCACCAGUGGGGGGGUGAGGUUCUUUGCCUCACCUCUGUUGGCCCCCAAAUUUUAGACCAUCACAAGCAGAAGGGAGGAGGAUGCAAAAUGCCACGGCACCAAGCCAAAUGAUGGCUCUUUUUGGAAAAAUUGUACCACCGNNNNNNNNNNNNNNNNNNNNNNNNNNNNNNNNNNNNNNNNNNNNNNNNNNNNNNNNNNNNNNNCCAGCACUACCACAAUUCGCUGCACCAACAGAUAGUUCACAAUGCAUACAAGUGAUACAUAGUCCAGGCAAGUUCUGCAAGCAGUUCAAAGCAGAGGAAUCCAUCAAUAUGUCCAUUUCCUCCCAAAGUAAAUCAACUUCUUGAUUGAGCAUUACUUGUUGAGUUAUUAUUCAUUGAUGCAUCAGUUUAUAUAGUUUACUGUGAUAGCUAUCGAAGAAGCUGUAGCUUAGUUUUAUCUUUGUCUUCACCGGCACUGGGAUGAAGAUAGGAAUUCUGGCAAUGGUGGCUAAAAAAAAAUUAUGCAACAUUCCAGCAGGCACUAAGAAAACAAUUUUUUGAACAAUUUACAUUAUCCUGAACAGAAUUAUUAAAUAUAAUGAAAAGGAAAGGUGAAAGUAAACAAACAGAUCUGUUAACCACCUUUAAAAACAAUCCUCAACAGCUGUUUACCUAAUUUAAAUCAAACCAUUUAAAUCACGUGAAUAAAAAAAAAUAUUUGGAUCCAUUUAUUCAUGAGCACUCCUCAUAUAUGAUAUAUGGACAUAUGCACAUACAGACAUACAACACAAAACAGAAGUGUGCACACAUAACAUACAACACAUAAGACAAUAGUAAAGGCCUUGUAGUUUUACACAGGUGAAAUCUCCAUUGUAAUGUUUAAAAACUCCACAGUCAAAAAAUAGAACUGAUCAGAAAAACAUUAAUCUAGGUCUACAUGAGCUCAAAAAAUAAAAUUAAACUUCAUGAUGUGGGAAAAGGCAAUAAUAAAAUAGAUAUUGAAAAAAGGCAUCCUGGUUACCACCUGGGUUUGACUUUUCUUAUGAUAUCCCAUCCUUCUUCCUGUUACUUGCAUAUGAGUCUGAAGGUAUUCCCACAAGCAAGCCCCAAGGUUUCUUACAUUUGAAAUAGGCCUUAAUGGUGUUCAUUAUUCAUAGCCUCCAGGUGUCGGAGAAUCACUGUCGCAGAUGUAAGGAUAGCCAAACUGGAGUUCUGAAUAUCAGCUGUUAUGGAUUUGAGCCAAAUCAUCUUCUUUUUGGUCUGUAGAAAUCGCUUUAGUUAAUCUCUCUGGAAUCCAAAUCGGCUGCUGUUCUCCCUGUGGAAACACACAAACAGAACCCCGACUCCAGACAAUCNAUUUUAUAACUUUUUACUUUACCACACAAAGAUUAUCUCAUCUAGAAACAUUUCUUUUUCCUUUAACCUUUUAUAUUAAAAUAUAUUUCCACAUCUUGAAUCUUCUUAUAUCUCUUUUCUAACCAUUAACCCUUUUUUAAAAAAUUCACAUUCUGAAACGACCCUUAUAAAAUUUCUGAAUUUAGACAAAUUACUCCACUUUAAUAAGAUGAAAUACUUUCAUUUUUUUUAUGAUACUAUAAUACUAUAAUUGAAACCCAACUGAAACUUUUAUACUCUUUGUAUAUAAAUUACACCUGAUAGAAUCUUAACUCUUAGUAACCUUGUUUCAGCAAAGACACAGACACAAAGCAAUAUUAAACCUUUUUUUCCAUUUACCAUUUAUGAAAACACACAUAAUGUUUAAAUAUAUUACCUUAUGGAACUUCAUAAGAGUACUUGAUUUUAUGUUUAGUGGUUGAUGUUUCAACACUUUAGCUUUGUAAAUUAAUUAGAUGUCUGUAAAAACCAAGAUCUUAGACACGUGUAGUGAACAGGACUAGCCAUCUCUUUCUUGUUGAAGAAAAAUCUUUUUACAGGAUACCAUGAUGGUCCCAUUGUGAUAUACUUAAUAACUCGUCUUUAAAAAGCCAUGGGCUACAUUUUUGUAUUGUAUCAACAUAUGCCUUAACUGUUCUUGGUCUUACUGGGGUGCCUCCUUCCUGUAACAAUUUCUCUUCCUCAGGGGCGAACAACUUCAAACCUUGAGUCAACCAUUUUCCCCAGUUUGCCUGAGAAAGUUCUAGGGACAGGCAACUUGAAAUAAAAACAAAAUAAAUCAAAACAAGAACACAUUGUUUUUUGAAAUGGUCACCCAUUCUUUUGCUCUCCUUCAGGGGCGAGCGAUUUCACUUACCCCCAAGCUUCAGGCGUUCCCCCGCACGGACCACCAAAUGCCGCAGUCGGGCUGGGCACAAAAUAACCAAGCCGCCACAAAACCUUGUAGGUUCAAACAGCAAAUCUUUAUUCCCGAGCUCUCACCGGCACUCUACACACACUUUCCGGGAACACACUCCCUCCACCAGGCUCCAUGUGCCAAUUCUCCCAGAACCCCAUGAGAACUCAACGGGAUAGCGGGCACCCGAGGCAGCAGGAUCCACCCUAAUCCCAGAGCCGCCCUAUUCCCAGCAGGAUCCGCCCUAUUCCUGGAGCAGGGUCACCUUUCAACCAUUCCCUCUGGCAAAAUGCCAGGCAUCAUUCCCACUAAACUGUGGCUCUCAACACAUGCUGAGGUCGGAAACCAGGGCCUCACAUGUGCAAGGCAAGGGUUCUACCAUUAAGCUACACCCCAGCCCUUCCUCCUGUUUUUGAGAGAUGUGAUGGUGCAGAGAAAUAUGUCUCUGAGAAAAACAGUGCUACUGGGACGAUCAACAGCACCAGCCCCAGCCUGAGUGACAGGAGGGGAGAAGGGGCGAGGACAGUGCUGGCAGACAGCUCACAGACCUCUCAGAGGGAAGAAUGCUUCCUGCAGACAGCCAGGCCAGUGUGGGCAGCACUCCUUAUUCUCCAGAGACGCAGGACAUCUGGGUUGUCAGAAAUCAGGGCUAUUUAUUUAUUUAUUUAUUUUGCAGUAGAAUGCAUUUGACACAUUGUACCCAAAUGGAGCAUAACCUUUCAUUCCUCUGGCUGUACAUGGAUCAGAGUCACUCCACUAGUAUAAUCAUACAUGUAUAUAGGGUGAUAAUGUCUGUCUCUUUCUAUCCUCCUUCCCAUCCCAAAACCCCACCCCUCCUCUGACUCCCCUUGAACCAAAGUUCCUUCAUUCUUCCCUGUCCCCCUGCCCCACUAUGGAUCAGCAUCCGCUUAUGAGAGAAUGUUUAUUCGGCUUCUGGGUUUUGGGGAUUGGCUUAUUUCACUUAGCAUGAUAUUCUUUAAUUCCAUCCAUUUACCUGCAAAUGCCACCAUUUCAUUCUUCUUUAAGGCUGAGUAAUAUUCCAUUGUGUAUAUUUAUCACAUUUCUGUUAUCCAUUCCUCUGUGAAGGGCAUCUAGGUUGGUUUCAUGGUUUGGCUAUUCUGAAUUGAGCUGCUAUAAAUAUUGAUGUGGUUGCAUCACUGUAGUAUGCUGAUUUCUUUUAAGUCCUUUGGGUAUAAACCGAGGAGUGGGAUAGCUGGGUCAAAUGGUGGUUCCAUUCCAAGUUUUCUGAGGUAUCUCCAUAAGCACUCAUGCUGUUUAAAAAUUUCUCAUUGAAGUGAGAUGAACAUAGAGAAAAGUGCAUCAUAAACUGUAGCUCAAGGAUUUUUCUGCAAUGAACACGCUAGUGAGACCAGCAUCCAGGUCCAGAGACAGAAUGGAGAAGCCAGAAGCCCCUGCCUGUCCCAGGGGCCCUUCCAAUCACCCUCUCCUCCACUCACACACCCCCAGGGCAACCAUUGUUGCCGUUUUUAUUUUAGUUUAUGUAUUUUAUUUUUAGACAGAGUCUCACUAAGUCACUUAGGGCCUCACUAAAUUUCUGAGUCUGGCUUUGAACUCACAAUCCUCCUGCCUCAGCCUCCCAAGUGCUGGGAUUACAGGCAUGCGCAGCAAGUGCCCGGCUCUAUGACUGCCUUUGAAUUAGAUAAACUGGGGUUUUGCACUUUGCAUAAAUGGGAGUCUACAACCAGGAAUCACAGGGCAUUGCUUCUUGAGUCUUUUACUCGGCAUCAUGUGAGAUUCCUUCAUGGGUGGCUGUUGUGCCCAGUGCUGGAUAGCAUUCCUUCAGCAAUUUUUUACCCCUUUCAUGGGUGGGUGUAUCCAUUACACCCUCAAAGCUGUGUGCUAGUUCACUGUUCCAAAUUGUUCCAUGUUUAAAUAUUAACUACAAAUUUCAAACAUCUUUUGCAGGCCUUAGUGUUUCUCUGUGGCCAUCCAUUUCCAGUCUCUCUAGUGGACAGAGUUCAGAUGACCCAGCAGCCCAUGAGCCCAGAGCACUCUCGACAUCUCUCUCGCGGGAGAGCACAGGAUUGGCUCAGGCAGAUGACUGCAGUCUGUCGGUUUCCACUCCCACCACAUACCCACCCCCAAAGCUGGUAAAACAGGCCUCACCCUCCUUAUUUACCUCCCCAGAACACCAGGAGGAUUGACUCAUAAAUGUCUGCAAAUUGCUGGUGAAGAGAAACAGGGCUGUAAAUAUACAAUAAUCAGGAGCCUAAUCAGCAUCAGAUCCCAGGGCAUGACUCCAUUAAGCCGACCCCCUGCCUGGCCCUAAUCCCCACCCUCCAGCUGCGGCUUCACUCUUCUGUAAGCACUUCACAGGCUCCUGCUGUGGGCUGGGCCACCUCUGGAGGCUGCAGGCCCAGGGAAGAGCCUUGAGGAGUUCGGAGAUCUGCUCUCAGUCUACAAAGAGGAAACGGAGACCCAAAGACAGAAAGGAAUCUGCCCAGGUCACCGUGCCCGCCAGACAGAGCUAGGGAUCAAAACCAGGCGUUCCAACUUCAGCCCAAGGCUCACUUCUGUGCCCACAGAACCUGGACUCUCACAAAGGGACCGCUCUGUCCCUCGUCAUUGCUUCAGCAGCCUUCCUUGGGCCUUCCAACCCCCCCCCAGUCCUCUCCUGGCAGUGACCUAGGUCAGGAGGCAUGCCCCCCACCCCGCUGCCUUGGUUUCCCAGUCCUGUGCCUUCCCAAAUCUGUCACAGACUGGCAAGCCCGCCUGGGCUCACCGUGCCCACCAUGAACCUCCUCCCUUCUGCCCCGAGGUCCUCCAGGAGGGCCCCAUGUCAGACAGACCUGGAAUUGACCCAGGUUUCCUGGGUUCUAGAUCUGGGAAUCUAGAACCACCUGGGGGGUGUUCUACUGUGCAGACCAAUCAGAGGCUUCAAGUUCAGCCCUGGGAGGUGGCUGGAGUGAGCACCAAGAAGCCCAUUUCCAGUCCUGAACAAAGGCUCUUCUUUCAUGAGCAUGAGCUGUGUCUAGGUGUACUGCGUGCAUUAUAGUCAUGAACUCUACAAAGAAACCACCAUUUUACAAAAGAGGACUCACAAGUCCACAAGCUCAGUGGCAGAGCAAGGGUUGGAACCAGGGAGAGCACAUGAACUAUCGAAGGCACAAGGCUGCCACCUGCUGUAGGGUCAGAUUGCCCACACUCCUUACACCAGGGUCUUCAGAUAAGUGGGUGGGUGCUGGCGACAUAAGGGUGUGUGGGGCCUCUUUUAUGAGGACAGUCAGUUGUAUCCAGGGUGGCCCAUAGCGCCUUUUAGCAAGAUCCGCUCCUUCUAAAACCUGCCUCUCUCACCCCCACUGCCACAGUCUGGCUGGGCACAAUCAGGAGCCACUUGUCAAAAGAAACUAACUUUAUUUUUAGAACCACACACGCCAAACAAAACAGCCUCUCAGGAAAAACCCUCAGAGCCUCAACUGCCACCACCGGCUUUCCACAAGCCUCUCUCUCCCACACAAGCUUCUCUCCACCUCCCACAAUCCUCCUGCUCUUGAGGCCGAUUGGCUGGGUCACGUGGGCGGAGCCAAAAAAGUCCCCCAAUGAGCAGCUCCGUGGUCUGAAAGGGCAGGGAAACAGUCCAAUGAGCAUCACCGCAGAGGAGCCAAUCAGCUA